GAUGAACGCUGGCGGCGUGCCUAAUACAUGCAAGUCGAGCGAACAGACGAGGAGCUUGCUCCUCUGACGUUAGCGGCGGACGGGUGAGUAACACGUGGAUAACCUACCUAUAAGACUGGGAUAACUUCGGGAAACCGGAGCUAAUACCGGAUAAUAUAUUGAACCGCAUGGUUCAAUAGUUAAAGACGGUUUUGCUGUCACUAAUAGAUGGAUCCGCGCCGCAUUAGCUAGUUGGUAAGGUAACGGCUUACCAAGGCAACGAUGCGUAGCCGACCUGAGAGGGUGAUCGGCCACACUGGAACUGAGACACGGCCCAGACUCCUACGGGAGGCAGCAGUAGGGAAUCUUCCGCAAUGGGCGAAAGCCUGACGGAGCAACGCCGCGUGAGUGAUGAAGGUCUUCGGAUCGUAAAACUCUGUUAUUAGGGAAGAACAAAUGUGUAAGCAACUAUGCACGUCUUGACGGUACCUAAUCAGAAAGCCACGGCUAACUACGUG
rnacentral:rRNA from 1 species